AUGACAGACCCUGCAGUUGUGGAAUUACCUGAGAAGAGAAAAAGGAAAAAUAAGCUCUGUGAUGAAAGUGACAUCAAUUCAGAGACAUCUUCCUGUGAAGAUGAUAUGAACUUGAAGCAGUCAGGAAAUGAAGUGAAGCAAUCUGGUCUGAAGUCAAGAAAUGUCCCACUGCCCAAACCUCCUAUAUACCAUGAUACUCUUCAGAGAAGUGGGAAAAAAGAUGAGGAUGAUCCCAAGCCCACAAGCUCUGAUGUCUCAGAACAUCACAUGACUUAUAAAGAAAUUACAGUGCAAACCAGGAUACCAGAUGAUGUGCAUUUAAAGAAGUCAAGAAAUGCAAUGAAGCGAGUUGGUCUGAAGACAAAGAAUGUUCAGCUGGCCAAAACUCCCAGAUACCAUGUAGUCAAGAGUCCACUUAUUCAGAAAGCUCUGUGUGUCAAAACAUCUGGUGACUGUCUGGAUGAUAACAAUGAAAGCCCUGAUGACAGUUAUUUAAACUCAAGCCAGCCCAACCCAGUAUUCUUAGAUACUCUUCAGGGAAAUGUGGCAAUGCAUGAGGAUGAUCAUCCCAAAAGCUCUGCUUCUUCAGGGAAGGAACCAAAGGAAACAAAAUGCAAAGUCACCAUGGAGAAAUUGUUUGAUCUGAAUACUAAGAUACUCCAACAAAAUUCAAAUGCUGGAACAGAGACAAGCUGUCAUCAUGAAUGA
rnacentral:lncRNA from 1 species